ACGGGAGGCAGCAGUGAGGAAUAUUGGUCAAUGGACGGAAGUCUGAACCAGCCAAGUCGCGUGCGGGAUGAAGGCCCUACGGGUCGUAAACCGCUUUUGUACGGGGAUAAAGUCACCCACGUGUGGGUGUUUGUAGGUACCGUAAGAAUAAGGAUCGGCUAACUCCGUGCCAGCAGCCGCGGUAAUACGGAGGAUCCGAGCGUUAUCCGGAUUUAUUGGGUUUAAAGGGUGCGCAGGCGGGCUGCUAAGUCUCCGGUGAAAUGUCAGGGCUCAACCUUGGCACUGCCGGAGAUACUGGCGGCCUUGAGAGUGGCGGAGGUAUCCGGAAUGUGUGGUGUAGCGGUGAAAUGCAUAGAUAUCACGCAGAACGCCGAUUGCGAAGGCAGCCCUCCAGCACUGGACUGACGCUGAGGCACGAAAGCGUGGGUAUCGAACAGGAUUAGAUACCCUGGUA
rnacentral:rRNA from 1 species